GCCACAACAAUUGAGGGGCGGACUUUGCUUACAACUCAAAACCAACCUUAAGCUCUUGGUAAAACAGGGAGGUCAACAUGGGGGCUUUGUGAGUAUAGGAUUCAAUCUAUGGAGUAUAAAUUUUAUGGGGACAUUGGAGAGAGUGGAGAAGAAGAACUUUGGCUUCCUGGCCGUGUGUUCCUGCAUAAAUUGCCCGAAUCUGCCCCUGAUGUGCAGUAUUACUCUCUGAAAGAGUAUCCACAAUGUGAUGAUGCUUCUCGUUGCCAAGUUAAAGCAUCCUGGGCUUUGCCGGUGUUCGAACAUUCCAGCCAAAUCUGUGUUGGUGUACUUGAGCUAGUCUCUACCAUCGAUGCCAUUAAAGGUUGGUAUGACAAAUCUUUCCUUCGCAACCUGCAUGAUGUUUUUCAGGAGCUAGGUCUGCAAUCUAUUGACUGCUGCAAACACUAUCAAAUGAAAGUAAGUAGCAACUUAUAAUGGAAUGUGUAAUCUACUAUUUUAAUUUCUUAUGUCCAGAUUGUAAGGAACAAGUUCUCACAUGUACUUUUUACACGGUAAUAAUUGCAAAUCAGUAUAAGGAUGAGGAUAAAGAUGUUACAUCUGCCUUUGAUGAACUCGCGUUGGUACUGGAAUCGUUGUAUAAAGUACAUAAGUUACCUUUGGCUUUGGCUUGGGUCCCGUGCAGUGCUUGCGACGCUUUGUUGCUAGGCCAACUCUCAUCCAAGGGUGCAGAAUAUCUUGGGGCUUUCGAGGCCAACUAUAACCACCUCAUUGAUUUCUUGGUGGCCAGUACUGGAUGUCACCUUCGAAAUGGGCAGGUUGUUGAGAGGGUACUUUCAUCUCCUAACAUGUUAUACUGCUUGGACAUAACACAAUUCAGCAUAGCAGAGUACCCUUUGGCACCAUUUGCACGACAGUGCAAAUUAAGUGGUUGGUUCACCAUAUGCUUGCAUAGCAGUUACACCGGGGACGAUGUAUCUUUUUGCCUGUGAGCAGCAAAGACAAUGAGAACACACUGACCACAGUGCGCACAAUAUUGGGUACCAUGAAGUCAAAUUCCAAAACUUUAAACUUGCUUCUGGAAAAGAACUGGGGGAAGUAUUAUCCAUUGAAGUUCUUUAUUUUCAGAAUGCUUGGUCAUCUUGAUCAGCCAUUGUUAGAUGCGAUAAAUGAUGGAAGGGAUGAUAUUAGGACAAAAGAGGGUGGACCUGUUGCUACUAGUUCAAAAGGCGGCACAACAAAGAUACAAGAAGGGAAACAAAAAAAAUCUGGAGUUAGAUUUGACAUUUCUUUAGACGACGUCCUACGGUUUUCAGCAUUGAGCCGUACCAAUGCUGCAAGGGAACUCAAAGUCAGCGUAUCAACAUUGAAGCGUGUUUGUAGGAAAUGGGGUAUCCAACGGUGGCCUCCUCACGACACAAACAAGGAGGCAUAUGCCAUAGCGUUACCAAAUGUUGAAGAUAUUGUGCACCUUGAUUCACCCGAAGAACCGUCAUUGAUGGAAUUUGAUGAUGCAAUAAAUGGAGCACAGGAUCUCAGGGAAGAUGAUAGCCGGCCAUUUAUUACUCAUUUGGAGAAAGAAAGUCUACCUACUUUUAAGGAUCUCCAACAACAUUUUGACUGUAAAAGUGGAGAUGCUGCAAAGAGUCAUGGUGUUAGUGCAGAACGAAACAACUUGGAUGUAACUUGUUCAAAAGGAGCCACCAUCAAAACUCAAGAAAGGGGACUGGGAAAAGCUGGAGUUAGAAUUGAAAUUCCUCUAGAGGAUAUCCUUCAAUAUUCUAAUAAGAGACUUGAUUUUGCUUCAAGCGAACUCAAAGUUAGUGUAUCUACUUUGAAGCGAAUAUGUAGGAAUUACGGCAUCGAGAGGUGGCCACCUCGCAACAUAAAAAGGGUCUGUCACUUUCAGCCCUCGCCUGUUGAGAACCAGGGACAAACCCCACCGCCUUCAAAUCUAACCUCACCUAGUGUUGCUCACAAAACGCAAGCAUUCCAAGAUGAGGAUAUGGUGACGACUAAGGCGAAAUAUGAAAAUAAUACGUUUAAGUUCCAGCUGUCUUUGUCGUCUAGACUAUUAGAGUUGCAGCAAGAAUUGGCUAAAAGGCUCAACCUGGACGCUGGUACUUACUAUGUCAAGUAUAAAGAUGAGGAGGAUGAUUUGAUUGCAAUAGCUUGCGAUGAGGACUUGCAAUCUUGUUUACACAUUUCUAGAUCUUUAGGCAACACUUCGACGGUGGUACUGCUUGAGCUAAAGGAUGCAUGAGCAAUCUACCAAUAUCUAUGUCUCUGUUCAGAAUGCCGGCUGUCGUUUCCAGGGAAAUAGAGAGGAUUCAAAGCAUAUUUUUAUGGGGAGGUUCUGACAAGCAAAGAGGAUGCAUUUAGUGAGUUGGGAAAAAGUGUCUAUGAGCAUGGAAAAAGGAGGUCUUGGUAUCGGAAAUUGUCUGAGAUGAAUGACUCCUUGCUAAUUAAGUGGUGGUGGAGAUUCCCCUCUGAGAAAGAUGCUUUGAGGAGAAGUUGUUUGUGAAAGUAGUAGAGGUUCAAUGAUUUGGAAGGAUGUCUCUCAAAUGCAGGUCAGGGGUCCAGUCAUCUACAAUAAGUUCGUAUCAAAUGCCUUCAUCAGGGUUGGAAACGGCAGAGGGAUAGCAUUCUGGAACGACGUGUGGUUUGAGGGUGUGGCUUUAAGAAGCAGAUUUCCAAGGUUAUUCAAUGCGGUUGUUGAUAAAGAGGAGAAGCUAUUUUCUGUAAUUCAAAGAAGAAGGUCUCAGGGCUUUUGUUCUUUUCAGUUCAGAAGAAAUCUAUUUGACUGGGAGGUGGAGGAUUUACAUAACCUUCAUGUGCUUCUACUUGUUGUCCUGGAUGGUGAGGUAGAUAGAAUUGAUAGUGUUGUGGAGGGCCUCUGCUAGUGGCCAGUUCUCUAUCAAGUCUAUGAAUAAUUUGGUGGAGGAGAAUUGGGAGGGACUCAAUUUGCCUGCGUAGAAAAGUUGGUGCAAUCUUGCUCCGCCUAGGAUUCAAUGUUUUUGUUGGUGGGCAUGUCAAGGAAGGAUAAAAUCCAAAGCACUAUUUUUGAGAAGAGGUUUGAUUGGAUGCUCUUUGUCUAUUUUGUGGACUGCAUGUGGAAUUUGCAGAUCACCUGCUUGUGCAAUGCUCUCUUCCGUGGGAAUUGUGGUCUAAAUGUAUGAAGUGGUGGGGUCUGGCUUGAGAUUCUCCUGAAUCAGUUGCGGGCUUAAUGGAGUGGUGUGGUUGCAGUUUCAAGAAGAAGUGCAAAACCAUCCAUAGGAUGUGGGAGGUCACUCCCUCUGCAGUAUUGUGGUCCAUAUGGAGAGCCAGGACUGCUUUGGCGUUUGAGAAUUGUGUGCCCAAUUGGGAGGUUUGGGACUCAAUUAAGCUUAAGGUGGCCAAAUGGAUUGCAUCAAAUGUUGGUGCUUUUUCUUAUUCUAUCAAUGACAUCUUACACAAUUUGGGGAGUAUUUCUGAGGGCUCUCUGAGGAGGCUCCUGUAGUUUGGGGGUUAGUCUCUAAUUGCUGCUGUUGGUCCCAUCAUGCAUCUAUUUCUGCUGCUGCCUUUGCAUUUUGGUUCACAUUCCCUUUGGUUGAUUCUGCUUCUGCACUCUUGGGAGGAUCCAGGACUGUUUGAGCCUUCUACAUCUGAUGCUUCUGUGUCUUUGCCCUCAUUAUAUAUAUAAUGUUUAUAUUUUGCUUCUUGUCAAUGCUUUUGGGGAUGUUUCGAUCAGUUUUGCUGCUGCUACUCUCAAGUAAGUUUGCCCUGACGUUGUGAUGCUUCAGUGUUCCAUUUUCAAUUGGCUCAAGAUUGAGUGCUAUGUUUUUGCUGCCAUUAUGGUGAUUUCAGGGUCCUAUCUUGCUAGGCUAUAUUGAUGCUACUGUGGUGGUUUUACUUUCCCUUGGUUCUCAGUUUGGGGUAUCUCCUUGAUCUGUUUUUCGUCCCAUGGUUGGCACCUUGCCAACCCUUUGUUUUUCGCCUUUUCUGUGCUUAAAGGGAUUUUGCAGUGCUUAUUGGAUUCCUGAAGUUGGAAUAUUACUAUGUGAAAAGCAAAGCAUCAAAUGAUCUACGUUCGAUUGUUGACGCAAAUGUUGAUGGAGCGGGGAUAUAAUCAAAGAUGCGAAGGCAGCUGCUAUGUGUCACCGCACCAAUUCGCCAACAAUGUUGGAAAUGGCCGCGUUUUUUCCCCCCUUUUGCAGUCCCUGUUCGAGAUUACCUGUUCAGUAGCUUAACAACCUGGGGUGUUUCUGGACAUUCAAAAGUGAAUUCUGUUAUCAGUGAUGGAAUGAUACCACACACUGAUACCGCACAAGAAUGUAAGAGAAUUUUGCACAUAAGAAUGUGAAAAACUUUGCACUGUAAUGCACGGAAAGAAAUGCUCACUUAUAAUAAGAGCAUAACUGCCAUGAUUCGUGUAUAUCAGGACUCUCAAUGAAGUUUGGGUAGUUUUUGCGUUACGGCCGUAUUCAGUUUUCUUACAAGUUACCCUAAGGUUGGAAUGUGCCAUGUGAACCAAGUGGGAGAAUGU